ensembl:processed_transcript
AAUUGAAGCAGACAUUCAUGAUCUAAAUUCAUUUUUCCUAAUUAUAUGUUAUCUCUUCUUUCUUGCUUACUAGUGUCAGCUUCACUAUCCAUUCUUGCAUUUCUGUUUUUUUUUUUUUUGUUUGUUUUUUUGUUUUUUUUCUCUUCUGGCAACUUUGGUAAAACUGACAACACUUCUGUAACCUAACUGUAUCUUGUUACUGAAAUCAAGGAUAAUUAUUUUAAUAUUGUAAUAUUGUUAUAAUUGUCUAAUGAGACAGUGCAAAUUGGAUGCAUUAUAGCGCCUGAAAUGUUUCUGAUUAGCUUAAGAAGGGAAACUUUGGAUGACAAAGCUGCCCACAAUGUCAAUGUCUUGUACCAUUAUGUGCUAGCCUAUUCCCUCUGGAGGGCAGAAAUAAUAUUUAUCUUUCCGCAUCCUAUUAGAAAGCUGCUACUGAAAGGUAUUGGGCUGAUGAAACUUAUAUAGCUAGUCCUCUUACAGAUGACUCAUUUCAUUUGGUUUUCUUCUCAUUCAUGAACCAUGCAGCUGAAUAUCAAUGUGAC